rnacentral:rRNA from 1 species
UAGGGAAUCUUCGGCAAUGGACGAAAGUCUGACCGAGCAACGCCGCGUGAGUGAAGAAGGUUUUCGGAUCGUAAAACUCUGUUGUUAGAGAAGAACAAGGACGUUAGUAACUGAACGUCCCCUGACGGUAUCUAACCAGAAAGCCACGGCUAACUACGUGCCAGCAGCCGCGGUAAUACGUAGGUGGCAAGCGUUGUCCGGAUUUAUUGGGCGUAAAGCGAGCGCAGGCGGUUUCUUAAGUCUGAUGUGAAAGCCCCCGGCUCAACCGGGGAGGGUCAUUGGAAACUGGGAGACUUGAGUGCAGAAGAGGGGAGUGGAAUUCCAUGUGUAGCGGUGAAAUGCGUAGAUAGAUGGAGGAACACCAGUGGCGAAGGCGGCUCUCUGGUCUGUAACUGACGCUGAGGCUCGAAAGCGUGGGGAGCAAACAGG